rnacentral:misc_RNA from 1 species
UCAAACUUGGUCAUUUAGAGGAAGUAAAAGUCGUAACAAGGUCUCCGUUGGUGAACCAGCGGAGGGAUCAUUAAAGAGUUGUAAAACUCCUUAACCCUUUUGUGAACAUUACCUGUUUUGUUGCUUUGGCAGGCGGCCCCAGGGCGGGGCUCUGGCCUGUUAUCAGGCGCCUGCCAAAAGCCCCUUAAAACUCUCUUUUAAAGUAGUUUAUCAGAGUUUAUAAAGACAAAUAAGUUAAAAACUUUCAACAACGGAUCUCUUGGUUCUGGCAUCGAUGAAGAACGCAGC